rnacentral:rRNA from 1 species
CAAUAGCGUAUAUUAAAGUUGUUGCAGUUAAAAAGCUCGUAGUUGAAUUUUUGCUUGCCGCCGAUGUCGGAACUUCCGUACGUUCGGCGGCGUGCAUCCUUGGGUGGAACCUGUGUGGCAUUAGGUUGUCGUGCAGGGGAUGCUCAUCGUUUACUGUGAAAAAAUUAGAGUGUUCAAAGCAGGCUUACACCGUUGAAUAUAUUAGCAUGGAAUAAUAAGAUAGGACCUUGGUACUAUUUUGUUGGUUUGCGCACCGAGGUAAUGAUUAACAGGGACAGUUGGGGGUAUUCGUAUUCCAUUGUCAGAGGUGAAAUUCUUGGAUUUCUGGAAGACGAACUACUGCGAAAGCAUUUACCAAGGAUGUUUUCAUUAA